GGACUACUGGGGUAUCUAAUCCUGUUUGCUCCCCACGCUUUCGCACCUCAGUGUCAGUAUCAGUCCAGGUGGUCGCCUUCGCCACUGGUGUUCCUUCCUAUAUCUACGCAUUUCACCGCUACACAGGAAAUUCCACCACCCUCUACCAUACUCUAGCUCGACAGUUUUGAAUGCAGUUCCCAGGUUGAGCCCGGGGAUUUCACAUCCAACUUAACGAACCACCUACGCGCGCUUUACGCCCAGUAAUUCCGAUUAACGCUUGCACCCUCUGUAUUACCGCGGCUGCUGGCAC
rnacentral:rRNA from 1 species